GAUGAAGUACGCAGCGAAAUGCGAUAAGUAAUGUGAAUUGCAGAAUUCAGUGAAUCAUCGAAUCUUUGAACGCACAUUGCGCCCGCCAGUAUUCUGGCGGGCAUGCCUGUUCGAGCGUCAUUUCAACCAUCAAGCCCCCGGCUUGUGUUGGGGACCUGCGGCUGCCGCAGGCCCUGAAAAGCAGUGGCGGGCUCGCUGUCACACCGAGCGUAGUAGCAUACAUCUCGCUCUGGGCGUGCUGCGGGUUCCGGCCGUUAAACCACCUUCAUAACCCAAGGUUGACCUCGGAUCAGGUAGGAAGACCCGCUGAACUUAAGCAUAUCAAUAAGCGGAGGA
rnacentral:misc_RNA from 1 species